rnacentral:rRNA from 1 species
UACGUAGGGCGCAAGCGUUUGUCCGGAAUUAUUGGGCGUAAAGAGCUCGUAGGCGGCUUGUCACGUCGGGGUGUGAAAGCCCGGGGCUUAACCCCGGGUCUGCAUUCGAUACGGGCAGGCUAGAGUGUGGUAGGGGAGAUCGGAAUUCCUGGUGUAGCGGUGAAAUGCGCAGAUAUCAGGAGGAACACCGGUGGCGAAGGCGGCAUCCUGGACCAAUAUUGACGCUGAGGAGCGAAAGCCAGGGGAGCAAACGGG